UACAAGACGGAAAGGUAGUUGGUGUAAAUUACUCCAUCAUGUAUUAUUAUACAUAAUCGUGAUGGUGUAGCGAUGACUUUGGAUCCAAAUUAGAGAAGGUUGCCCUUAUCAAUCAUCAUCAGAUUCCCAAGCGAAACCAUCUUCACUCAUUCACUCAAUCGACCACCACGGAUUCAAUCUUCAAUAGUGCUUUAAUUACACCCUAAUCUAUACGUUUCAAACUGUCCAACAGUGUUGUGACACGUAGAAUACGCUUCACCGACGAACCGUGUCACAAGCUUGAAUCUUAUUGCUGCUCCACCACUUCCAUUCUCCUAACCAGAUCGCAUCUAUUUCUUCCCUUCAAUCUCUCUCCUCGCUCUCCACCUUCUGUUUUGCAGAAGCUGCUUCCUUCACUGACAUCAUCGCUAACAGGUAUAAGUUGUAAGUAAAGACCAAAGAAAGGUAAAGUUAAGAGUUCAGAAUGGGGUUCGUGGUGGUGAUAUCGUUGCCGUUAAUAUUGAUCAUCUUGAUAUUGGCUUUGGGCUGUUACCUGUGUGGCCGGGCCAAGGGUCGGCGACAAAACCCACCGCAGUAUGGGCCUCCUGCUCCUCCACCACAGGCCCAACCCAAAUAAUGCCUACCCUUUUCUCAUUACUGUUGCUACCCUGUGGUUUGAGUUUGUUCAUCAUCAAUACUGCAGCCACUUUGGAUUGGAGUUUGAAAAUUAUUGUGUAAUUAUAUAUAUAUAUAUAUAUAUAUAUAUAUAUAUAUAUAUAUAUAUAUAUAUAUAUAUAUAUAUAUAUAUAUAUAUAUAUAUAUAUAUAUAUAUAUCAACAAAUUCAGGUUUUUUCUUGGGUAUCUACACAGUUGAUGAAAAACUAGUACAAUGGAAUGCUACGGUUCAUAGCUUAAUCUUGAAUAAAAUAGUAGAGCAUUGAAAUUUGUUUCCACGUUAGUGGGUAUAUUAGGUGAUUAAAUAUUGCCGUCCUAGUUAAUUAGUUACUCAUGUAAUUUGUUA